CAAUCCUAGGUCACAACAUGUUAUUUGAACUCGGUUUAUCGUGUUUGUUUGAGGUUUAGAUGGACUUUGCAAGCAUAAAAGUUAAUUCUAGCCGAAAGAGAACGGUCCAUUCAAGAAUGGCAAGUUGUUCGUGCCUCUAUUUUCAACGCAAAUAGUUACGAAAUCCACAAGAUUUCAUAAGAAAGACUUGUAAUUCCUGGUAUGUUUACUCAAUAAAUCUAAGGAUAAGAUAGACGGCAAGAGAUAUCCAUAAUACGUGCUUCUCCACAAACGAAUUGAUCCCGAAUUCAUAAUAUUUGAGUUAGUUUAAUCGAGACUCUUAUCUAUUUUCCUAUAGAUAUUUGAUGUUCUUGGUUCUUUUGGCCACAUCAUAUUGCUAUUAUUGAGCACAAGUGAGGUUUCUUAACCCGUUUGAAUAUUCUAUGGUUUGUGUUAUCCAUUUUCCGAGACUCUAUUUUAUUCUUCUACCAUCCACUUUUGUGUACCAGCUUUCUGAGGUUCUUAUUUCAUUCGAAAUUGAUUCAACUCUUAUGAGAUUUCUAAUCUCGUUUCAAUUCGUAUAUCCCUUUCGUCAAACUUCUCAUUCAUUUGAGUACUAUUUCACUUGAUUUGGCUUACCUUAACCUCGUUUUCAUUUAUAAUCUAGAGUGAGCCAAAUGCUUGAGCCAAAUGCCUGAGAGUUCAUAUACUCGAUUCUUUCAUCAUUUUAUUGAAUCCGAUUUCGUUCCAUUGCUCUAUGUGGAAUAUUAUGGCAUAAGAGAACCAUAUUCUCUUAGAUUAAACUCUUAUGAGAUUUCUAUUCUCAUUCGUUUCGAUUACGCUCUUGUGAAAUUCCUUAUCUCUUUUAAAUUGGUUAUACCUUUUGUUAGAUUUCUCAUUUCUUUGAGAACUCUAUCACUCGACUCGGCUCACCUGAAUCUUGUUUUCAUUCUUGCUCAAUGAUGAGCCAAUUUUUCCGC
rnacentral:lncRNA from 1 species